rnacentral:rRNA from 1 species
CCCAGACUCCUACGGGAGGCAGCAGUGGGGGAUAUUGCACAAUGGGGGGAACCCUGAUGCAGCGACGCCGCGUGGGUGAAGAAGCGCCUCGGCGCGUAAAGCCCUGUCAGCAGGGAAGAAAAUGACGGUACCUGAAGAAGAAGCCCCGGCUAACUACGUGCCAGCAGCCGCGGUAAUACGUAGGGGGCAAGCGUUAUCCGGAUUUACUGGGUGUAAAGGGGGCGCAGACGGCGAUGCAAGCCAGGAGUGAAAGCCCGGGGCCCAACCCCGGGACUGCUCUUGGAACUGCAUGGCUGGAGCACAGGAGGGGCAGGCGGAAUUCCUAGUGUAGCGGUGAAAUGCGUAGAUAUUAGGAGGAACACCGGUGGCGAAGGCGGCCUGCUGGACUGUGACUGACGUUGAGGCCCGAAGGCGUGGGGAGCAAACAGGAUUAGAUACCCCAGUAACA